UGGUGGCACUGGUUCUGGUUUGGGUUCGUUGUUGUUAGAGCGCUUGUCAGUGGAUUAUGGGAAGAAAUCAAAGCUUGGUUUCACCAUCUACCCAUCUCCUCAGGUUUCAACUGCUGUCGUGGAGCCUUACAACAGCGUUCUUUCUACUCAUUCUCUUCUUGAGCAUACGGAUGUUGCUGUUCUUCUAGACAAUGAAGCUAUAUACGACAUUUGUAGGAGAUCUCUUGAUAUCGAUAGGCCUACAUAUACCAACUUGAAUAGAUUGAUAUCUCAAAUUAUUUCAUCCUUAACCACUUCAUUGAGAUUUGA
rnacentral:misc_RNA from 1 species